UACGGGGGGGGCGAGCGUUGUUCGGAAUUACUGGGCGUAAAGGGUUUGUAGGUGGUCUGCUAAGUCAGACGUGAAAUCCCUCAGCUUAACUGGGGAACUGCGUCUGAUACUGGCGGACUUGAGGACAGGAGAGGAACGCGGAAUUCCAGGUGUAGCGGUGAAAUGCGCAGAUAUCAGGAGGAACACCGAUGGCGAAGGCAGCUCGCUGGGACGGUACUGACGCUGAGACGCGAAAGCGUGGGGAGCAAACAGG
rnacentral:rRNA from 1 species